UGCUUUAACUUGUAUUGGAGAGUGGGGCCAAUUUGACGUCUCUCCUCAGGAGGUAGAGCAGCAAUGCGCUCAGCAAGUUGAAUGAUUUUGUCAGAGGGUGGAGGUCUAGGACCAUAAGGAUCAUAAAAUGCUGGAUAUUUGUAUUUUUUGGGCUUGGCCUUGGGAUCUCUGGGAACAAAAUCAUGCUGGAAAAAGCGAACCUGCAAAGACCCAGUUAUCUCAUGGAGAGUAGAACGGGCACAAAUGGACCUCACAAGUGCAACAAACUUCAUGUUUCAUGAAUCAGAGAAACGAUAUUCAUAAAAACAAAUAUGACCAGAAGGGACAAUAUCAGAUUCAAUUAAGCAAUUUCAAGCACCAGAUGCAAAUGAAACAUGCGCUUUUCUUCUUUUCUUAUGAUGAGUAAAACUGCAAGAAUUAUGGUGCAAACUUUGUCUCCAACGUGAGAUGGGAAUCAGAGAUCUCACCAGAAAGCCACUGAUGAUACAGCAAAACGGCAAAACCCCCCAAGUUCG
rnacentral:misc_RNA from 1 species